CAGAGAGAGAGGGAGGCACAGAAUCCGAAGCAGGCUCCGGGCUCUGAGCUGCCAGCACAGAGCCCGACGCGGGGCUCGAACCCAUGAAACUGUGAGAUCAUGACCUGAGCCAAAACCAAGAGCUGGAUGCUUCACCGGCCGAGCCACCCAGGCGCCCCAUCUUGACCACAGAAUAUUUUAACUAGUUUCUAAUAUUUGCCUCUCCCAACCCUCUAACCUCAUUCCCAUUUAACAAAUGUCUUACACACGGGACACUGUGUUCCCCUAAACCAAGGAUUUCACAGAAUAGUCUCCAAUCCACCCUCAUCAAAAAUCUGGGAGUAUCUGUUUAAGAUGCAGUUUUCUGGUCCCCCACCCCAGACUUAAUGCAUGAGUACCCCUGGUACUUCUAACAAGCUGCCAGGGGACUGCUACACGAUUAAUAAUCACUGUUCCUACAUUGUUUCGAAUGCUUUAUAUUCAUUCAUGCAUUCAUCCUCACAGCAACUCUAUUUUCCCCAUUUCACAGAUGAGAAACCGAGGCACGGACCCUCGGGUCCAGGAAAACAACGCUAGUAUAGGAGAGGAAGAGACCGUUUUCCUCAACUGUCUUAGGGUCCCCGGCUGGAUCUGGAAAUUAAGCUGACCCAAACAGAUGAACAGGAGAAAAACAUAUAAAUGUAUUUAAUAUAAAUUUUACAUAACACGAAAGGCUCCGUAAGGAAAUGAAGACUCAGGGAAACCGUGAAAGCCGAGCGCCUCGAUGCUGGGUUUGCUGGAGAGUGGAGGUCACGGGGACAUAAAACAAGCAGAGUACGAGCUAACCGUAGCAAACGGGAAACUUAGCAACGUCUGUUCGUCCGGAGUCUUCCCAUCGUCCCUCGACUUGGAGACAAAUGUUCCUUGGAGAGGUACGGGGAGGGCACCUCUCACACGAGGGGCCCGCGGAGUGGUUACCGGGUUACUCUCAGAUAAAAUGAUGCUCUCCAGAGAGCCUGCCGGCGUGGUAAAGGUGCCAGUGGCACAGAAGGCACACCGCGAAGGCUGUGGAUCUGGGAACAGCCCGAAGUUUCAUCCCCGUGUUUCUUGGAAGCGGCACAGCGCGGGCGAAAUCUGAACCGGUUCCCGGGAAUCACGUCCAUCGGACGACUCGACGCCAACGCCAGCUGCUUUGCCAGUUACUGGUAAGGGGGGGGGGGGGGAGGAGUACGAGGAAUUAAGGAGAAACGUGUUACUGUAACUCAGCAGCUCAGAGGGCCUUCUCUCAGUCCAGAGAAUAUUUGAAACGAAGGGCAGAUAUGAACUUCACUUCUGGCUUCAGCCCUAAAAACAGCCAGGAAAAACACGUACACUCGAAACGUCCUCCCUCCGUCCAAGGUCUACCCCACCUUCUGUCUCCCCCAAAACAUCCGUGCGUUUAUACCUGUUGCGCGAACUCAUGGCAACGGCAGUCAGGUGAUCUGGGCGAUACUAACACUUCGGGAUGGCAGCACCCGGUUCUAGAGAGAGCACGGGGCUUCGGAGGGGGCGCACGAGAAGGGAAACCUCACCAAAACCCGAGUCGCGAAGGCGCGAGGGCCCCCGGCAGGGGGAGGGAGGACACCUUCCACGCGGGACUCUGACUCCUCGGGAAAAGGAAAAUCCCUCCCUGCAGCAGGCCGUGGAGACACCCGCACAACGUCCUGUUCUUCCUCCACGAACGCUUGCUCAGAACACCCCUCCCCACGUCCUCCUGAAACCUAACGGAAUCUGACCUGCCCUCUGUCCCCUCAGACCUGCCCCUGCUUUGCUAUGUCUGCUCGUCCCGAAUUGCAAUUCCUCCGCUCUUCCCCGAUAGACUCAUGUUGCCAGUGAAAUCGUGACUCUGUUGUAUUUACGGAUGACAGGCCCUGCACAGCUGGCUUCGGGUGUGAAUUUAAGCGUGACCCCGGACGGCCUAUUGAAACUCUGAAUCUCGGUUUCCUGUGAAAUAGAACCAUCUCGUUUUUAUCCCAGCGCCACACGUAGCUGAGGGGUUGCGGAGGGGGCUAAAGUGGAGGACGUCUGUGACACCAGACAAAUCUCAAUUCUUCCCUUCCCUUCUUUUCAGUCCAUUCACCGGGAAACCCUAACUACCCGUCCGCCCUCGUAACCUGACUAUUCCAAGCAAAUAACCCGCUUGUUCAUUGGAAGAACGUCCCAAAGAUUCACCAGCUCUGCCUAGGAACCAUCAACAGAGGGGCUGCAGCCUAAGGUUUCUCUGCUUCAAAAUCUUUGCCUUGCUGUUUCCCACCCAUUCAAAAAAAAAUUUUUUUUAAUGUUGAUUUAUUUUUGGGAGACAGAGUGCCAGCAGGGGAGGGGCAGAGAGAGGGAGGGAGACACAGAAUCCGAAGCAGGCUCCAGGCUCUGAGCUGUCAGCACAGAGCUCAACGUGGGGCUCGAACCCAUGAGGUACGGGAUCAUGACCUGAGUUGAAGUCGGAGGCUUAACCGACUGAGCGUCCCGGGCGCCCGUUUCCCACCCAUUCUAAACCACGGGAGACACAAUCCUCAAACGAGCAGUGCCCAGACCGCACGUACAGAGCUCUGACCUACAGUCUGCGGUGGCCAGCCCAGGAACGGACUCACCGUCAACAGAAACCAGCCCAGGAAGCCAACCCACCACCUGCAGAUUGGACUUCUGAGAAAGCCCACCGUCUCUCGCAAACGGUCCAGGAGGCCAAGCAGUGACACCUGUAACUCGCCUCAAGCAGCCAGGACUCGAUCAAUACUUGCCUGGUUUCUGGGCCUACUUCCCACUCGGACCGACGGAAGGAGAAAGCCAGACACGUGCCCCUGACCAGUCGCAUCGGAUGCCGUGCGUCUGGCCAGCCUGCCCGUACCUUCCCGGUGCCGAUGGCCCCGAUCGGGACACACGUGACUUCCCUUUUUCCCACUCCCCUGCCUUCCUCUGUCUCUGUGCUGACUGCAGGCGAUGAUGGCUGACGUCUUUGCCCUGAUAAACAAUCUUUGCCUCUUGUCGUGUGGAUGGUCUUCCUUUGGUCCCGCCACCGCUGUGUCGCAAUCCACCCCCAGUCCCAAUUGACGCUAUGUUGGGAAGUAAACGUUUUCAUAGGGCUCUCUGAGCAAGCUUUACUGGGAUCUGGUCAAAGGACAAGCCUCAGACGUCGAAGGGCGUGUAGAUACAACCGAACGCCAGAAAGGAUCACCUCUCUGGCCAUGCACAGAGAGACACUCCAGGGUUGUGAGGAAGUCCUGAGAGGCUUGUCUUAUGUAUCCCCCAGAGACAUUUAGUUACAUUCCAGGGGGGUCUGCCUCUUCCCAAGGAGACCGUGUUUAUGGGGAUCCGGGGUACGGCACAUGAAGCCCUAUGUAAACAGAUUGACAAUUUCGGGGUUCCUGUCUUGUGGUACAGGGAGCCCCCCGUACACACAUCUGGUUCUCACAUCGCCCCAAAAGAGGCAAGAAUUAGCCUGCGGGGGGACUCUAAAGCUACUGCUGUUAAGUAAAUAAUCAUCUGCUUGGAUCCAGAGACCUCCUGGUUUCAGAAUAAUAUAAACAAAUAAAAAUAUAUAAAACGUAAUGUUAAAGCUUUGA
rnacentral:lncRNA from 1 species